UACGAAGGGGGCUAGCGUUGCUCGGAAUCACUGGGCUUAAAGGGCGCGUAGGCGGGCUGUCAAGUCUGGGGUGAAAUGCCACGGCUCAACCGUGGAACUGCCUCAGAUACUGACGGCCUCGAGGGAGGUAGGGGCGUGCGGAACUGUAGGUGGAGCGGUGAAAUGCGUUGAUAUCUACAGGAACUCCGGUGGCGAAAGCGGCGCGCUGGACCUCUUCUGACGCUGAGGCGGCGGAAAAGCUAGGGGAGCAACGGGGAUUAAGAAACCCCUGU
rnacentral:rRNA from 1 species